CGCCACACUGGGACUGAGACACGGCCCAGACUCCUACGGGAGGCAGCAGUGGGGAAUAUUGGACAAUGGGCGCAAGCCUGAUCCAGCCAUGCCGCGUGUGUGAAGAAGGCCUUUUGGUUGUAAAGCACUUUAAGCGAGGAGGAGGCUCUCUUAGUUAAUACUAGAUAGUGGACGUUACUCGCAGAAUAAGCACCGGCUAACUCUGUGCCAGCAGCCGCGGUAAUACAGAGGGUGCGAGCGUUAAUCGGAUUUACUGGGCGUAAAGCGUGCGUAGGCGGCUUUUUAA
rnacentral:rRNA from 1 species